GUGCUCGCUGAGGAGCACAUACACUAAAGUUGGAAUGAUACAGAGAUUAGCACGGCCCCUGCGCAAGGAUCACAUGUAAAUUCAUAAACUGUUCCAUUUUUUU
ensembl:snRNA U6 U6 spliceosomal RNA